GGCAUAGCUCAGUGGCAAAGAGUCUGCUUGCCCUGCAGAAGGUCCCCCUGGUUCAAUCCUGGGGGGCAUCU
rnacentral:tRNA from 1 species